GCUAAGAAUAUUCCGCAAUGGACGAAAGUCUGACGGAGCGACGCCGCGUGGAUGAAGAAGGCCGAAAGGUUGUAAAGUUCUUUUGUUGGGGAAGAAUAACCAUGGGAGGGAAUGCCCGUGGGAUGACAUGAACCGACGAAUAAGCCCCGGCUAACUACGUGCCAGCAGCCGCGGUAACACGUAGGGGGCGAGCGUUGUUCGGAAUUACUGGGCGUAAAGGGCAUGUAGGCGGUCUUGUAAGCUUGGCGUGAAAGACCACGGCUCAACCGUGGGAUUGCGUUGAGAACUGCGAGGCUUGAGUGACGGAGAGGGAGCUAGAAUUCCUGGUGUAGGGGUGGAAUCUGUAGAGAUCAGGAAGAAUACCAAUGGCGAAGGCAAGCUCCUGGCCGAUGACUGACGCUGAGGUGCGAAAGUGUGGGGAUCAAACAGGAUUAGAAACCCUAGUAGUCC
rnacentral:rRNA from 1 species